CAGGAUUAGAUACCCUGGUAGUCCACGCCCUAAACGAUGUCAACUGGUUGUUGGGGGAGUGAAAUCCCUUAGUAACGAAGCUAACGCGUGAAGUUGACCGCCUGGGGAGUACGGUCGCAAGAUUAAAACUCAAAGGAAUUGACGGGGACCCGCACAAGCGGUGGAUGAUGUGGAUUAAUUCGAUGCAACGCGAAAAACCUUACCUACCCUUGACAUGUCCGGAAUCCUGCAGAGAUGCGGGAGUGCCCGAAAGGGAAUCGGAACACAGGUGCUGCAUGGCUGUCGUCAGCUCGUGUCGUGAGAUGUUGGGUUAAGUCCCGCAACGAGCGCAACCCUUAUCAUUAGUUGCUACGCAAGGGCACUCUAAUGAGACUGCCGGAGACAAACCGGAGGAAGGUGGGGAUGACGUCAAGUCCUCAUGGCCCUUAUGGGUAGGGCUUCACACGUCAUACAAUGGUCGGUACAGAGGGUUGCCAAGCCGCGAGGUGGAGCCAAUCCCAGAAAGCCGAUCGUAGUCCGGAUUGUUCUCUGCAACUCGAGAGCAUGAAGUCGGAAUCGCUAGUAAUCGCGGAUCAGCAUGUCGCGGUGAAUACGUUCCCGGGUCUUGUACACACCGCCUCACACCAUGGGAGUGGAAUCUGGCAGAAGUAGGUAGCCUAACCCGCGAGG
rnacentral:rRNA from 1 species